CUUUAUUUUCUCAUCCUCCCAGGAUGCAAGAGAAAAUAUUUACAUUCCCUUUUUGCUGAAGCAGCAAAGCCAUCAGGUUUCCCAAUCUGGAAAGUCCCGAUGUGCACGUUUGGGCCUAUGCUGGAGACGCCAAAGUGAGAAGCGUGGCCUGCGUCGGAGCAGAGUUUCCAGUGCCACGGCCGGUGUGGCGCGUCUGGGACAUGUCUGAGCCCCGGCCGCCCUGGCUCUGAAAGGCCUAGAAGGACCUGGAGGCGGCUCAGGAAUGCUGAGAUCCGGAGCUCCUCUGCACACUCACUGACCUGUUGCUACGGUGACGGUGACGUGCAGAAGCAGUGACGCCCGCCUGAGCUGCAGCCCUGUCCACAGAAGGCAGAGAAGAGAGAGCUCAGCCCCGAGAGCCAAGAGCCGGAUGGGAAGUCACCUCGUGUCCAUGGACAGGAAUAUGGGGCCCAGAGUCCUUGGAAGCCUGUAUCUGAGAACCAUCUGGAUCAUAUUAUACAUUGAUUUGUUCUUGGCUUUGAAAAUGGUUUUAGUGUUGAUGCAACCUCAUUAAAAGUAUCUGCUAAAACACUCUGGUACAGUCUACGUGCCUGGCUUUUGAAACCCGCCCCAGCAACAAAAAUGCCCUUUGCAUAAUGCCCCCAUCAGCUUAUGGUGCACAAAAAUGUAAUCACAGGCUCGAGUCGCAAAUCAGUCAUUGUAGCACCUGAAAUCUUGUAAAGAGAUGAAGAAAAUAAGAGUGUUUACUUCCUUGGCUAUUUAAACUCACUGGUCCUUUCGAAUGGAUUUCCCCAACAGGACUCAGGGGACCGCAGCCCACCGGUUUGCUUGGUGAUGUGAAGGGGAGAGUUCCUGCCUAGCUCCGGCCCUUCGGGGGUGGGGGGGACGACCCAGCUGACAGACUGCGUCCCAGAGCCGGGCUCGUACGUUAGCUUCAGUGGCCAGUGCCCCGUUACGCCAAUGCCCUUGUAAAGGGAGGCUCCCCAAGUGCAUGUAACACAAGUCUUCACAGCAAGGCGGCGUGCAAGAGUUCGUCUCAUCGGAGGAUCUUCGCGCUGUCCUUCCGGAGUAAAAGAGCUGAAGGCGCUUGGGUGGCAAUUAAGCACGAACGCGCUCGUUUCCCGACGUUUCCCGACGGGCCGAGCGUGCGACUCUCACCCAGGGAAAUCUCGCCCGGCGUCAGCGCUGCUCCGGACAGGCCAUCGGAGCUUCCGCGGCGCCGAUGCGGGCCGGCUCUUCCAGGGCGAGAGGAAGCCCGCCGUGGCCUUGACCGGCAGGCACGUUUCUCGGGAGGAUGAGGACGAAAGGCCGCCGGCCCCAGCCCGACGUUUUGCGGGUCAGGGUAACAGGUUACACUUCGAGCAGUUCGGAGGUUUCCAAUCGGUGGAAGCGCUGAGAAAGGGGUGCUCGGAAUGAAGAGCAAUCUUGCCCUCACGCGCACUGUGAGUGGUCUUCGUCCAAGCCAGGCUGUGUCCACAAGCUUCCAGCUGACAUUUGGAAGAAAGAUACGCUCCUUCUGAGCUGAUUUUGGAGAGUUCUACAAAUACUCCUCAUGGCCCCGUUCUCGGACCUCUGACCCCACUCCCACGUGAGGGCCAGGACGGAUCAGCGCAGCCCUGUGUGUGGUUCAUGUCUUCCAAGGUUCACAUCAGCUCCUCCAAGAGCUUCAUACCUCCGUGACGACGAAUGUCACUUGGACAUAAAGGGGGUGAGUGUAUGAUGCUUGGCCGCCAUUCCCGUAUUCCCGAAACGUGCUGUUUCAUGGACUGUCUGGUGCGUUUCGACAAGAAUGAUCUGGGAGAGGACUAUGCACCUGAUGUUCCUGCUCUCUCUGGAGAGGCCUGGGGGGGAGGAGGUGGGGUCGGGGGAGGCCCUCGAAUCUACAGUGGGAGCAAACGGUAAGGCUGUCGGGUAACCGUGCAAAUAUCAGAACAAAUCUUAAUGCGACCUGUAAGCGUAAGGACAGAGAUGAGAAGGAGCUGAGGGCAGUUCCGCCUGGCGCGGCUGCUGGGGUCACGUCCUUCUCCCCAGUAACGACUACAUUCCAAGUCCCUUGUGGUGGAAACGAAAAUACGACCACAUUCUGGGUGUCUGCUUGGCUUGGAUAAGCCAGACCCAGAUUCAGGAAAAGAAGUCUGUAGAACAUGGAGUCAUUAGUUACAAAAGGAGCAGAGAAAGA